CCUACGGGUGGCAGCAGUGAGGAAUAUUGGUCAAUGGACGAGAGUCUGAACCAGCCAAGUAGCGUGAAGGAUGACUGCCCUAUGGGUUGUAAACUUCUUUUAUAUGGGAAUAAAAUGUUCCACGUGUGGGAUUUUGUAUGUACCCUAUGAAUAAGGAUCGGCUAACUCCGUGCCAGCAGCCGCGGUAAUACGGAGGAUCCGAGCGUUAUCCGGAUUGAUUGGGUGUAAAGGGAGCGUAGGUGGAUUGUUAAGUCAGUUGUGAAAGUUUGCGGCUCAACCGUAAGAUUGCAGUUGAAACUGGCAGUCUUGAGUGCAGUAGAGGUGGGCGGAAUUCCUGGUGUAGCGGUGAAAUGCGUAGAUAUCACGAAGAACUCCAGUUGCGAAGGCAGUUCACUGGACUGCAACUGACACUGAGGCUCGAAAGUGUGGGUAUCAAACAGGAUUAGAUACCCCUGUAGUC
rnacentral:rRNA from 1 species